rnacentral:tRNA from 1 species
GCCCGGGUGGUGGAAUUGGUAGACACCCAGGACUUAAAAUCCUGUGGCAUGUAAAUGCCGUGCCGGUUCAAGUCCGGCCCCGGGCA